rnacentral:snoRNA from 1 species
UGAUGAUGGUGAAGGCAAUUUUUUAGCAUACCUUUAAAUCUCUCCCAAGCUUGUUAGAGAUUCUCUCUUUUUUCUAUCUGAAACUCAAAAUCUUGCUUCUCAAACG